GUCAACGGUCAGAAAAUACAACGUUUUUUCCACUUCCCUUUUUCCCGUCAAAAUAAAAAGCUCUAUGUUUACUAUAACUUCCUCUUAAGCUUCAACUGAGAGGUUACACAAUAAAAUCCCUUACAUUAUGAUGGAAAUCUAUACAUCGCAGCAACGUAUUAACUAUGAAUGUUAGAUGUAUUACAAGUUCCUCAGUUGUUCGCAGGUCAUUUUGGAGCAUCGUUUAUUGAGCGUCUAAACGUCUUUACUGUACACUCACUGUUGAUGUGAUGGACAGUGAAUCUGAAUUCUGCCCAGCAACAUAUUCGCGCCACAGUCGAUAAAGGAAGGAAAAAAAGUUGCCAGUCUAGAAGGGUUAGGAUGGAGACUGCUUCGUUGCUGCUGUCAAACACCAUGUGGAAGAUCAGAAAACGUGGGCAGGAGUUGGGAGAGAAGGCAAUGCAAAGAUAAAGGACAUCAUACCACAAUAAUAGUUGUGUGUGUGUAUAAGCCUGAUCAACAAGUGAAAAGAGUCAGAUAAGAGGAAAGAGUUUGACGACCACUGCUGAAUUGGCCUGCUCAGAGGAAGAGGCACUAAUGAUUCCAGAAAACAGGAAGCCAAAGAAGAAGCCCUACACAGACUUUGAAAUGGAUCUCUCAAUUGCCAUGAUGACCAAGAUAUUCAACGGGGAAAUGUGGAAAGCUGUCAUAUUCCCAGUCAUUACUUUGCCACACGGCCAAUAAUCGAGAGACACCC